GAUGAACGCUGGCGGCGUGCUUAACACAUGCAAGUCGAACGGAGUUAUUUGAAAGCUUGCUUUUGAAUAACUUAGUGGCGGACGGGUGAGUAACGCGUGGGUGACCUGCCUUAUACUGGGGGAUAACACUUAGAAAUAGGUGCUAAUACCGCAUAAGCGCACAGUUCUGCAUGGAACAGUGUGAAAAACUCCGGUGGUAUAAGAUGGACCCGCGUCUGAUUAGCUGGUUGGUGAGGUAACGGCUCACCAAGGCGACGAUCAGUAGCCGGCCUGAGAGGGUGAACGGCCACAUUGGGACUGAGACACGGCCCAAACUCCUACGGGAGGCAGCAGUGGGGAAUAUUGCACAAUGGGGGAAACCCUGAUGCAGCGACGCCGCGUGAGUGAAGAAGUAUUUCGGUAUGUAAAAGCUCUAUCAGCAGGGAAGAAAAUGACGGUACCUGACUAAGAAGCCCCGGCUAAACUACGUG
rnacentral:rRNA from 1 species